UUUCGUCCAGCGGGUCUCUUAUACGAAAUAUUUUUUAACUGCGUCCGCAUCCACAGGGGAUGGAAGAUCUUCGCCAUCCAUGGUCGUCAACAACAAGGUUCUGCCAGAGAAAACCUUCUUGACCACGAAUGGGCAUUCAUGGUUCGGAGUCCACUUGCCCCGACGAUCGUUCUGAGGAGGAAGGAUCCUUUUCAACACCAGAUCUCCC
rnacentral:lncRNA from 1 species